CAGCAGCCACGGGAAUACGGAGGGGGCUAGCGUUGUUCGGAAUUACUGGGCGUAAAGCGCACGUAGGCGGCUUGGUAAGUUAGAGGUGAAAGCCCGGAGCUCAACUCCGGAAUUGCCUUUAAGACUGCCGAGCUAGCAGGUGAGAGAGGUAAGUGGAAUUCCGAGUGUAGAGGUGAAAUUCGUAGAUAUUCGGAAGAACACCAGUGGCGAAGGCGGCUUACUGGCUCAUACUGGACGCUGAGGUGCGAAAGCGUGGGGAGCAAACAGGAUUAGAUACCCGCGUAGUCCCUGUCUCUUAUAC
rnacentral:rRNA from 1 species